ACCUGCUCAGGAUAUAUUUGGCAGCAACCAUUUAUCACACUUAAAAUAUAUGAAGAAAGGAACAGCUGCAUUAGUCACACCGUCAGGGGAAAACCAGAUCACCUGGAGAAAACUCACGCAUUCCAUGUGGAGGACAAACAAACUCCUCACAGAGGAUGCCAGGAUUGAACUACAAACUCCAGAAUUCCCUGAGCUGUAAUGGCGUCGCACUAACCACUACGCUACCGUGGAGCACAAAUAUGGCAUCUCCAAUUGAAGUGCGUUCUCCUUGGGAUCAAGCUCGACAGGAAGCCACCUCUAGUCUUCCACAGGAUGGAUCAAGUUGCUAGCUCAAUGCACAAUCCAGCAUGGGCGGAAAGCAUGUAAGGAGCUGGCUGGAUUCGAACCCUGGACCACUUGCUUCUGGUGCGGAUGCCACUACACCACCGGCUGGCUCAUCUUUAGAUUAUGUUGGUUGUUAAUGCAAAGGAUGCAUUUCACUGCAUGUUUUGAUAGAUAUGUGAUAAAAUAAAGUAAUCUGAAUCUGAGCUGAAUCCCCUUAACCCUCCCUCUCUCUGUUAUUCCAUUAUUGUUUACAUCACUAACAUCCCCACUAACAUCUUAACUACAUUCUACAGAGGCGUGGUUGAGAGUGUGCUGACCUUUUGCAUCACAACCUGGUACUCCAGCUGCAGUGCUGUCGACAAAAAAGCCUUGCAGAGGGUGGUUAGGGGAGCAGGGAAGGUUAUUGGGGUCUCCCUACCUUCUGUCCAAGACCUCUUUCAGAGUCGAUGCCUCCAGAAGACACGGUACAUCAUUAAAGACCCCUCACACCCUCUCCAUGAACUGUUUGUUCUUCUGCCAUCAGGCAAACGUUACAGGAGCAUCAAAACUAAAACCACAAGGCUACUAAACAGCUUCCUCCCACAGGCAGUCAGACUGCUAAAUAGCUGCUCUACCUGACUCUGCUUUUGGACACUUUUAACUUGCACUGGACACUUAUAACUUGAUUUUAACUGAUAUGUGGCUGUUGUGUUUUACUAUUUAUUGUUAUGUUUAUUAUUUAGUGUUGCGUUUGUUAUGUUAUGAUUGCACUGCUCCU